rnacentral:ncRNA from 1 species
AGACUUCACAUCGAUUAUAAUGCAUUUGAAGGUAUGUCUUUUCUUAAUUUUGUUCUCAUUCAUAUUGGUCCUAUUUAUAUUAUUAAGGGGGAAGCAACUCGAAUGUUGCACCCUAGAUGGCGAAAGUUCAGUAGUUGAAAGCAUCACUAACUUAGGCUCUGACUCGAGUAGCAUGAGAUACGUGGAGUCUCGUGUGAAUCAGCAAGGACCACCUUGCAAGUCU